GUUCUUGCUGUUUAGCGACUGCAGUAUUUGUUGUUAGAGCAUGGUGCUGAUAACGCCAAGGCUGCAGGUUCGAACCCUGUAUGGGACA